AGCAGCUCCUCACCCAUGCUGCCAUCACUCGACUUAGUGUGCAAAUGAAGCACCUGAAAAGGGGACUUAAAGAAACGGGUAUCUGGCCACUAAUUACAUCCAGACCUGAUGUUGUGCCCCUCCUCUUCCCGAGGGAAAGUGAAGUGGAAAUCACACCCCAGAUGGUCCUGCAGUCAAUCGUUUGGCCGCACCUAAAAAAAAGGUAUGACAGUGACGACAGCGACGAUGACUUGGAGGCGGAAACUGCACUGGUGGCUGGGUUAUUCCGUCAGUUUGUCGAAGAAGCGUCUUCAGACAAACUGCGCGAGCUCCUGAGGUUUUGGGUUGGCUGGGAGGUCCCUUGCCAAGAGCUGAAGCUUGAAGUUGUCCUGUCAACUGGACCUAACCAUAUGCCGACGUCUUCAACCUGUAGUGAGCGAUUACGGCUACCAAGUCACUACACCACCUACCAGGCCCUGUCAGCCGACAUGAAUGUGUGUCUGAAAUCAGUAGAGACAGGCUUUGGUCUUAUUUGAUAAAUAUGUAUUGAUGUUUCAUUUGUUGAAAAAUUGCAGUUCGACAUGGCAAGUCAGUUAAAAUAGAAAGUAAUUUUAU